UGCCAGCCGCCGCGGUAAUACGGGGGGUGCAAGCGUUGUUCGGAAUUACUGGGCGUAAAGAGCAUGUAGGCGGUCUAUCAAGUUGGAAGUGAAAUCCCGGGGCUUAACCCCGGAACUGCUUUCAAAACUGAUAAACUAGAGUUAGGUAGGGGACAGCGGAAUUCCUAGUGUAGAGGUGAAAUUCGUAGAUAUUAGGAGGAACACCGAAGGCGAAGGCAGCUGUCUGGGCCUAUACUGACGCUGAGGUGCGAAAGCGUGGGGAGCAAACAGGAUUAGAUA
rnacentral:rRNA from 1 species